CCUAGGGGGGCUGCAGUGGGGAAUAUUGGACAAUGGGCGAAAGCCUGAUCCAGCCAUGCCGCGUGUGUGAAGAAGGCCUUCGGGUUGUAAAGCACUUUCAGUGGGGAAGAAAGCCUUGGGGCUAAUACCCUCGAGGAAGGACAUCACCCACAGCAGAAGCACCGGCUAACUCCGUGCCAGCAGCCGCGGUAAUACGGAGGGUGCGAGCGUUAAUCGGAAUUACUGGGCGUAAAGCGCGCGUAGGCGGUCUGAUAAGCCGGUUGUGAAAGCCCCGGGCUCAACCUGGGAACGGCAUCCGGAACUGUCAGGCUAGAGUGCAGGAGAGGAAGGUAGAAUUCCCGGUGUAGCGGUGAAAUGCGUAGAGAUCGGGAGGAAUACCAGUGGCGAAGGCGGCCUUCUGGACUGACACUGACGCUGAGGUGCGAAAGCGUGGGUAGCAAACAGGAUUAGAUACCCUUGUAGUC
rnacentral:rRNA from 1 species